GAGGAGGAGGUGAAUGGUAAUGGUAUGGAAGUAGUGGUGAAGGAGAUGGAUAUUUCUUCCGAGGAGGCGGUGAAGUAUAAUAGUAUGGAGGUGGUGGUGAGGGAGAUGGCGGAGGUGGGGACUUGUAGUAAUAUGGUGGAUAAUAUACCUUUUUAUGUGGAGGUGGUAAUUUAUACUCGUAUGAUGGAUACUUCACUUGUUUUGUAAGAGGUGGUGGUGAUUUGUAAUAGUAUGGCGGAUGAUAUAUCUUCUUUGGUAGAGGUGGUGAUUUAUAAUUAUAUAGUGGAUACUUUACAUGCUUUGGAGGAGAUGGCGGUGAUUUAUAAUAGUAUGGUGGAUAAUAUACCCUUUUUGAUGGAGGUGGUGAUUUAUGAUGGAUAUUUCACGUGCUUUAAAGGAAGUGGUGGUGAUUUAUAGUAAUAUGGUGGAUGCUUUACAUAUUUUGGUGGAGAAGGCGAUUUAUAAUAAUAUGGAGGAUGCUUUACAUAUUUUGGUGAAAGCAGAGAUUUAUGUUUAUAAGUCGGUGAAGGUUUGUAAUGCUUAGGGUUGCAAUGAAGAAGAAUAAAUAUGAGGCAUACAAUCGGCCACCGCAGUGGUAGCUACAAGGCAGAGAACAACAACAUGAAUCAUUGAAGACAAAUUUCCCGGCUGCCUCCAGGCUCCCAUUCUCAAUUACAAGUGAGGUUUUGUGCUGUGAAUGAUGAAGAAGAACACAAUCCCUUUAUAUAGUCAUCUCCUCAGUCACUGGUGAAACAGAUAUGUUUGUUUAGUGAUGACCACAGCCUGGAAUUACGCCAUUAAAAAUACAACUCGAAAUCUUACACUAACACAAUUUUCUAAUUUUUCUUUGUCUGUUUCCAACCUGUUAAUAAAUUGGUGGUCUCCCACUACGUAUCUUAUGCAUAUUCUAAGAAAAUGAGAAUUUCAAGCUUUGUAUUUCUUUUUGUGUAAAAUAUGGUAUUAUUUCGACCCAAUAUGCAAUCUUUUUUCCUUUUUCUUUUAAAUUAUGUCACAAAAUAUAAUAAAAAGUAAUAAAGGAGAAGUUGAGGAAUGAGUAACAGAUAUCUGAAGACAACAUAUAAAUAUAUAUAUAUAUAUGCAAAUUUGCAAGAACUGGUCCCUUUAAUACGGCAAUUAACUUAAUUAAUUAAUUAUGCAUUUGAUUCAGUCAUAGAAGUUGAAACAAGUUAAUCACAUCAUAUAAAUUAAAAUUUCUUAAUUAAACAUUAUGAGCCGCCUGAUCAACAUAUUUAUUUUGAUCUAAUUGUAUGAUUAUAGGGCUCUUGAUAGCAUGCUUUACUUAUUGAAUGACUUUCACUUUAGUUUCUAUAGUUCAAAAUUUUGUUUUGUUAUAUUAUUCUGAAUAUAUUUGAUUCAGCUGAUAAGUUAUAGUUGAUAUCCGAUAAUUUAUAAUUGAUAUAAAUAUUUUAUUAAAAUAUUUAAAUUAAUUAUUCUUUGUAAUUUAUAUUUAACAUAUAAUAUAUUUUAUAUUAAAAAUACAAGCCUAUAAUAAAAUCUGAAAUUGACACAUAACAUUGUUAAAAAUGAAAGUAAAAAAAAAAAAAACUACAAACUGAAAAAAAAAAAAAGUGAGUUUAAUAGAAGUAUAUACAACUACUGUUGUUUAUAUAUAAAAUGAUAUAAAAUGACUAAUAAAAAUUUAAUUUAUUUACUUGAAAAAAUAAAUGUCUAUUAUUUAUUUACUUAAUAAUUUAAAUAAUUGAACAAUUAAAUAUCAAAAUCAUGAGAAAUUGCAAAUUCAAUAGCUGAAUCAGACUUUAUCUUAAUAAAAUUUAUGCUGAUGAAUCAUGCAACUAAAUUAAAUUAAGAAAUUUAAAUUGAUAUGAAUUUCAAACACAAAAUUGUAUGAUUGAGAUUAUCAUGUUUUAUGCAUAAGGUUAGUUUUCCAGUAAUCUGGAAGUUCUAAAGCACCAAAUAAUAUAUCUUUGAUAAACAUCUCACAUGCAAGUUCAAACAUAAAACCUGGAGAAAUUCUAAUCACUUAUUUCUUCUAUGUUUACAAAAGUUUAUUUAACUGGGAGAAGAAAGAUUAAUGAUAUAGCAAAAAAGAGAAAGUAACAUUAACCAAGACAAAAUGAUAACACAGUUGCUACUUUGAUAAAUAGAAUACUCGUUCCAAUUCAAAUACACAGAAUAUGUAACUAAAAAUUGUAUUGAAUGUAGAACUGUGAGUUAAUUAUUUAACUUUAAUUGUGUUUUAAUUUAGUCAUUUUCAUAAAUAAAAGAUUGAUAUAUCGCAGAAAUGGCCGAUAUAGAGAAUAAUUAAGAGAGAAAUAUGUUGAUAUUUUCAUCGGAAAUAAAUUAUAACCAAAAUCGAAAUUAAAUGAUUUUAAUGAAAUAAAUUAAAGUAAAACUUAAUGCAAAGUUAAAUGAUUUUUUUCUAUUCUUUCUUCAAUUAAUACUUGUUUUCUUGAUUAUUUAUACUAAAUUUUCUAAUUUUGAUAAUUUCUUACAUUUUCUUUUACCUGAAAGAGCUUAUUAGUUAGACACUGAAGAACUUUCCUUGACCUUUUCCAACAUAGCUAGCAAUAUAAGCAAGUGUGAACUCCUCCAUGAAAUCUAGCUUUUAGCUCUUUCUAAUAUUAAUAAUCCAAGUCAAACAGUGGUAUUGCUUUACUAUUCAGAAUAUGUAUGCAGCCAAUCUCUUAGAAUAUGUCCUUUUGAACUUCCAAUGGUUAUGUACUAGAUCUAUUAACAUUUAGAAAGUGCAAUAUCUAUAACUACAAUAAGAUAUUUUCAGAUUUUUCCAAAUACUUUAUGUUCAUAAAAUCUAGUAGUACAAAAAUAACUCUGGUAAAAUUUCAAUUAAUAAACACUGCAUAAAGACAAAUGAUACAAUAAGCAUUAUUUCAUACAAAAAAGAAUUCACUAUGAAUCUUGGUAUAGAUUCUUAUUGUACACAAACUUCUUUUAUUACAAUUUAAAACUUAAAAGAACAAACAACAACAGCACAUUAAGCAGUAAUGAGUUAUUCUUGUUACGACAUUUCAAAUCGAUUCAACAAUGGACUUGGCUGGAAUUUGGAAGUAGCCAAAUAUUUAUUAGUAUGGAGGAGGAGGAGAGUAAGUCGGUGGUGGUGGAGAUUGGUAAUAGUAGGGAGGAGGAGGAGAGGGUGAUGGAGGUGGUGGUGAAUUAUAGUAGUAUGGAGGAGGUGGAGAUUUGACUGGAGGAGGAGGUGAUGCAUAGUAGUAUGGAGGUGGUGGUGAUGGAGAUGGUGGAGGUGGAGAACUAUAAUAGUAAGGUGGUGGUGGAGACUUUUUUGGAGGAGGAGGGGAAUAAUAGUGGUAUGGUGGAGGUGGAGACUUCUUUGGAGGAGGAGGGGAAUAAUAGUAGUAUGGAGGUGGUGGUGAAGGAGAUGGAGGUGGUGGUGGUGGGGAUUUGUAGUAGUAUGGCGGAUGAUAUUCCUUCUUUGGUGGAGGUGGUGAUUUAUAGUAGUAUGGAGGAUGAUAUUCUUUCUUUGGUGGAGGUGGUGAUUUAUAGUAGUAUGGAGGAUGAUAUUCCUUCUUUGGUGGAGGUGGUGAUUUGUAGUAGUAUGGAGGAUGAUAUUCCUUCUUUGGUGGAGGUGGUGAUUUGUAGUAGUAUGGAGGAUGAUAUUCCUUCUUUGGUGGAGGUGGUGAUUUAUACUUGUAUGGUGGAUACUUCACGUGCUUUGGAGGAGGUGGUGGUGAUUUAUAAUAAUACGGAGGAUGAUAUACCUUCUUCGGUGGAGGUGGUGAUUUAUACUUGUAUGGUGGAUACUUCACCUUCUUUGGAGGUGGUGGUGAUUUAUAGUAAUAUGGCGGAUGAUAUACUUUCUUUGGUGGAG
rnacentral:lncRNA from 1 species